rnacentral:rRNA from 1 species
AUUGAACGCUGGCGGCAGGCCUAACACAUGCAAGUCGAACGAGAGGCGGACGGGCGAGUAAUGGCUGGGAAACUGCCUGAUGGAGGGGGAUAACUACUGGAAACGGUAGCUAAUACCGCCUACCAUCGGAUGUGCCCAGAUGGGAUUAGCUAGUUGGUGGGGUAACGGCGCACCUAGGCGACGAUCCCUAGCUGGUCUGAGAGGAUGACCAGCCACACGGGAACUGGAACACUGUCCAGACUCCUACGUGAGGCAGCAGUGGGGAAUAUUGCGCAAUGGGCGCAAGCCUGAUGCAGCCAUGCCGCGUGUGUGAAGACGGCCUUCGGAUUGUAAAAUACUGUCAGCAAGGAGGCGUUACUCACAGAGGAAGCACCGGCUAACUCCGUGCCAGCAGCCGCGGUAAUUC